rfam:Patagioenas fasciata monilis isolate BTP2013 Sc31e1R_9128, whole genome shotgun sequence.
GUCCAAAAUACAGUGAUGUGUCUUUUUCAAGCACAUAUCCGAUUUCUCUGUGUGGAAAAUUACGGUUGCUGACUGAAAUUUUUGGAC